rnacentral:rRNA from 1 species
AAAUUGAAGAGUUUGAUCAUGGCUCAGAUUGAACGCUGGCGGCAGGCCUAACACAUGCAAGUCGAACGGUAACAGGAAGCAGCUUGCUGCUUCGCUGACGAGUGGCGGACGGGUGAGUAAUGUCUGGGAAACUGCCUGAUGGAGGGGGAUAACUACUGGAAACGGUGGCUAAUACCGCAUAACGUCGCAAGACCAAAGAGGGGGACCUUCGGGCCUCUUGCCAUCAGAUGUGCCCAGAUGGGAUUAGCUUGUUGGUGAGGUAACGGCUCACCAAGGCGACGAUCCCUAGCUGGUCUGAGAGGAUGACCAGCCACACUGGAACUGAGACACGGUCCAGACUCCUACGGGAGGCAGCAGUGGGGAAUAUUGCACAAUGGGCGCAAGCCUGAUGCAGCCAUGCCGCGUGUAUGAAGAAGGCCUUCGGGUUGUAAAGUACUUUCAGCGGGGAGGAAGGUGUUGUGGUUAAUAACCACAGCAAUUGACGUUACCCGCAGAAGAAGCACCGGCUAACUCCGUGCCAGCAGCCGCGGUAAUACGGAGGGUGCAAGCGUUAAUCGGAAUUACUGGGCGUAAAGCGCACGCAGGCGGUCUGUCAAGUCGGAUGUGAAAUCCCCGGGCUCAACCUGGGAACUGCAUUCGAAACUGGCAGGCUUGAGUCUUGUAGAGGGGGGUAGAAUUCCAGGUGUAGCGGUGAAAUGCGUAGAGAUCUGGAGGAAUACCGGUGGC